rnacentral:rRNA from 1 species
UCAUAUCCGAGGCCUUGUAAUUGGAAUGAGUACACUUUAAAUCCUUUAACAAGGAUCAAUUGGAGGGCAAGUCUGGUGCCAGCAGCCGCGGUAAUUCCAGCUCCAAUAGCGUAUAUUAAAGUUGUUGCGGUUAAAACGUUCGUAGUUGAACUUGUGUUUCGCACGGGCAGUUACCAAGGACUAGUUCACUAAUCCGGUAUCUUGUCUUAUCUUCUUCUUACUUCGGUAUGAAGAAAUGUGCGUAGACGUAUUAUCGGCGUGUUCGCUCUUGUAGCGUUCACAUAAGCUCAUUGCAGUGAUCUUUACCGAUUGAUGUUGUGGGCCGAUACGAAUUACUUUGAACAAAUUAGAGUGCUUAAAGCAGGCUUGUAAUGCCUGAAUAUUUUGUGCAUGGAAUAAUGAAAUAGGACAUCUGUUCUACUUUCAUUGGUUUUUUAGACCAAGAUGUAAUGAUUAAUGGAAGCAGUUGGGGGCAUUAGUAUUACAACGCGAGAGGUGAAAUUCUUAGACCGUUGUAAGACUGACUAAAGCGAAAGCAUUUGCCAAAGAUGUUUUCAUUUAAUCAAGAACGAAAGUUAGAGGUUCGAAGGCGAUCAGAUACCGCCCUAGUUCUAACCAUAAACGAUGCCAGCUAGCAAUUGAGUGUAGCUACUACUACGGCUCUUUCAGUCGCUUCUCGGGAAACCAAAGCUUUUGGGCUCCGGGGGAAGUAUGGUUGCAAAGCUGAAACUUAAAGGAAUUGACGGAAGGGCACCACCAGGAGUGGAGCCUGCGGCUUAAUUUGACUCAACACGGGAAAACUUACCAGGUCCGAACAUAAAUGAGUAAGACAGAUU